AAAGUCACAAAUAACUAUAAAAUACCUUCCUACCUAUUUGGUAAAAAUGACUAGCUUAGCUAUGCAAGUACUACAGCUGAUUUUACGAGAUACAUAGUAUAUUGCCAGCAAGUCUGAGGGCAAGACACAGAUUUUAGUAAGUAAUAUUGUUGACAUUCAUUUAAAAAAAAAAAAAAAAAAACCAACCAACCACCAUGCUCUCCUCACCCCAUCCAAAAAAAAAAAAAAAGAUUAGAUACAAAACUGUAGACCAGUAGAUUAGGGUAAGUGCCUUGUGUGACAAACUAAGCAUAUAAUCAUAUGCUUUACUACUAAAGCAAAACCAGCACAGAAAUUAAUACUACGGGGAAUAUAUUUGGAGUUAGACCUUAAAACUAUGAUAUAAUGUUUCCACAACACUCACACAAUACCCUUCCAAAAUAAAACCCCACCACAACUCCAGCCUUUCAAAGUCCUUCAUAAGAUUUAGAGUUUCCAAACUGAAUGGAAAACUCUUACACGCAUGCAACAUUUUACACUGAUUUUAAGUCUUAAACUGUUACGUGAUACAAUUAAAAGAAUCAGCCUACAUGCUUACAUAGAACUCUAGAUAAAUUACUUGAAGCUAGAUUUUCAAAGCCUCAGAUAGUGUAAUUAAACUAUUGAUACUCACCCUUUCUUGCUUUUUCUAUUGAUUUUAGUUUUUCCUUUGCUUGAUAAACAGCUGUUGCCUAGUAUCUUAAAGAAAAAUUAUUCUUCAAUUGCUUCAUUAAUUGUAACCUUGAGCUCAGUUAAAGAGGCCCUGUGAAUUUGUCCACUUAUCUAUUAAAAAUUGCCUCUAAAAUAAAGAUCAGAUCAACAUCUUAUUAUUACGUGAUGUUUUCAAAGUAUAACCAGUGUUUAAAUAACUUAUAUGCAAGCACAUAGCACAGUAAUGCCUCUAGAAUGUCAGAUAAAUUAAAUAGCUACCAUCCUCUCUCAGUUGUGAUGCACUAGAUAUCCGGGAAGGGCUCCUAUUGCUUUCACUAGUCCAAAUUGCUCAAGGGUUGCCUAUUUUUCUCAAGGUAUUAGGCCAAAAUGCGAAGUCCAAUAUUCAUCUGUUCUUUCUUAUUCUUUCCUCAUUUAAUCAGCACCCGUCUUCAGUGGUUUGAUUUUCCACACUUAACCUAUUAUUUACAAUAGGUGUUAUUUUCACUACAAAUCUUUCAAAUAGUAAAAACAGACUGGGUGGGGUAUAAAAUUAUUAUGAAGGAAGAGUAAUACAGGUUGGAUGAAAAUUACCAUUACAGCCUUUCCAAAAAGUAACUUUAACUCUGGCUACUGAAAGUGUAAUUUCCAAGCUUUCAAGAAGAAUUUAUUUCAUUUAAUCGUCUUAAACUAAAAAUUGCGUUUUUUCCAGAACUGAGUGUUAGGAACAACCACCCUUAUUUCCCUCUCAACCAGCAACUCCCAAAAGCCAACACUUCACCUAUAGACUUACCAG